UACUCCCCAACCAACCCUCUGUAGCAGUUCCAUUCGAUUGGAGGAGAAGUCGAGAGGAGCAGGCGGUGGCGGAGGAUUCGACGGCAUUCACGGCCGUUGCUGGCACUGGACCGUAGCGUCAUUGCCAGAGCAGCCACAUCGAGUAGGUAAGGCUAUAGAAGCUUUUGUACUAGUGAAAUCUAUCUCCCUUCCUCCCUGGUUACAUUCCUCUUGAGCCCUCUCGAGAUUCAUGUAGAUUCGCAGCGCUCUAGUGUCCCUGUCGGCGGGGGAGUCGCAUGUGUGCCAUUUAGGGCAGCAUUGCGCAGUUCCAUCGCCAUCACGGUGGUAGUCAAGCCAGUGAGGCUCGCCCAGUCGGCAACCACCUAUCUAUGUACGAGAGAUUAGAUGCCUGCAAUUUUAUGUGUGAGCGAUUUCUAAUGUGUUUUUGUUAUUUUUGAUUGUCUCAUAGGUUGUGCUUAUCACUGUUUUAUGGCGAUGUUGUAGUUGAAUUGAGGGUCUGAUAGUUGUGUAUGAACCCUAGAUCUAGUUAGGUGCAUUUCAAUGUGUAGGAUAAUGGUAGUCAUAGCAAUUUCAACACACUUGUUUACCUACAACUAUACUCCUUGAUGGCAACUAAUUUUCUGAAUCAACUAUGUCUUACCGUAACACAAUGGCUUGUGGUGACCAUCAAGAUGAUGAUGAUGACUUCAUGAAAUUACCGGCACGGAAUCAUGCGAACGAUCGUACAAAAGAUGGCGAUGAGAAGAAGAAACAUCACCGCAAGAGGACUUCGCAAGAAUGCCUGACUAUAUUGAAAUAGGGAUUUACUAAUGACUAGAAGGGAGCUACCGGUGAGAUGGGGAUGUAGGCUCUGAUGGAUGUUCGAUGCAUGAACCUAGUAAACCCUGUAUGCGACUGGCUCGGAGAGACAUAUGUGCCCGAGUCUACGGAAUUCGUAAUUCUGGGACGUGGAAGACUGCCUUUCGAUGAGGAAUCGGUGAUCUGCACUUUGGGUGUCUCCCGUGGAGAAAUCAAAGUCCCGUAUGAGGUGGACAAUGAUAUUGAGGAAGUUUUGUUCGCCCGUUUGUUUCCUAGAAUGGCAUCCAUGCCUAAUACGACUGUGCUGGCAACUUCGCUGGAGGGCAUGAUAGCCAUGGCAAGGUAUUUAAGAUGAAGCUGCUCAUGUACUUGAUCUCGGCUGUCUUUGCGCCUACCACAUCUCUUCACCAAAGCAACAGGCGAAGCUGAAAGAUGUUUAAAACAUGAAUUGGUGUAAAUUCAUUGCCGACUUCUUGCAUGGUGCAUUCUUAAAUAAGAUGUACCGGAAGGGAUGUCGCUUGCACCUAAUGGAGGUCCGCCGCCUCCACAUAAGUUUGUUGUCUCUGCCUAGACUUAUGAUGAUGUCAAGGUUGUGCUUGCCGCAAACAAGAUAUCUGAUACAAAAUAUGGGAAACUGCAGCUGAUGGCCAAGGAUGCCAUAGACUACACUGUGUUUGGUGGGCACAAAACAUUGGCAAGUGGAUGGAUGUGCAUCCAGCUCCAUCUUGUUCCUCUAAGGCGGGGGCACCUAUUGAGCACCUAGUUGGGCAUUUUGGUUCUGGCAUGACCAACUUGCUUGGGAAGUUGGUCGAGGGCUAGACAACACUGAAUGGUUCUGAUAGCGACAUGGUUGCGAGGCAGUUCACAUCAUUUGUUGAAGAAUGGACAAAUUGACCAACUGGUUGCCGUGGUAGGUAUGACUACAACAGCUCUCGGGAGCUCCCUGACACACAAGACGAGCUAGUCGGGGAUGGCUUCGGUGGCGUGGAUGCUGGUAUCGACAAGGAUGGUGACGAUGACAUGGAGAAUGUGCCACAUGACACUAACCAUGAUGAUGAUAAGAAUGCUAAGGAUGCACCGAAUGUUCUUCCACCAGAUGAAGGCAUUGAUCCAACUGUGCGAGAGACACGGGGGUUUCGCUCUCAAAGAGGGGCAGGGCUCCAGAGGAUGCUAGCCAACGCUCUAUUGGGAAGAGGUGUAGGACCGAUCCCGUAGCUACUAGGAGGAGUGAGGCGACAGCUGGUGGACCAUCAGUUAAGCAGAAACAAGCACCCACGCCAACCCGUGUUUCUACCAGGUUGAACAAGGGGGCUCCCACUGCUAGUGCCACCACUUCCACUAGGUCGUCUCCUCGCAAAUCUACGUCCAACACCGGGGAUCAUGUCGUGCUGGAAGACUUGAGGAAGACAAUCAAGAGAUGGGUUCUCCCUGUUUUUAUUGUCCUAAUGCUAAUUUUUGUUUGAUGCAUUCUAAACCAUAUCCAACUUUUUACUUGACCCAUUUUUGUGGCAACUAUUGUCUGCCUCUCAUGGCAACUGUCUAACUUGCCACAUGGCUACUCCUAUGUGUCCCACAUGGGAACUGCUGUUUUAUGAUCUAAAUUUGCUGCAUGGCAACUGCUGCUUCUUCUGCAUGGCAACUCCUUACUAGACCAAAUUGCAAAUCUUGUCCACUCAUACGUCAACUAAUAGCUUCCACUAACUUCAACAGCCUGCGUUUCAUGUGUGUUCAUCCAUACCUUGUUUUCAAAUGGCAGCUCUGGCAUGUCACACAUUUUCAUUUUUUUAUGAAUACCAUAGAAAUUAUUUUGUUCCUACCGCUCACCUUUUUGUUCUCUUCAUGCGUUUUCUUAAAUGGUUGUCUUAUCAUUGACACAGUUUUUUGCAGGGGAAGAAGAAUACUGCACACUCGACCAAUCGCACUACCAAAGACCCACUUGAACGCAUUCACUCCAAGUUGUCGACAUUUGAUAAUGCAGAUAUUCAUGAGCCAACAAAUAUGUCGGUGUUCUAGGAACGGGGGUACCCAGACUUGCGUGCCUGCAGCCCACGACGUGGCUCCAUUAGCGGCCCGGUACGACCGAGUUUUAGCAGCGACAACACAAGACCCACGUGAGGGGCCAACCCUCGCGAGGCGGACGACGCCAAGGCCUCCCUGGGGGCGGCCUCUCUAGGAUGGCUCCAGCGGAGCGGAGAUAUCAACGCAAGGUGCACCUUGCGAGGUUCACAUGACAUGAGCCAUGACGACCAAGGCUACACGGGCGCCAACGGGCGCAGUGUGCCAGUUUCCCCUUUGGUGCCAAGGAGGAAAGCGCAGGCGCGGAGUCCCAAGGAAUCAGGAAAAGGUUUCCAUAUUGGCAGGACGGGGGUCAUCGCGGAGCCCACUACAGCAUCACUGCCCGAGCCUUUGCAGGCGAAGAGUAA